CAAACCCUCAAGCCUUGCUGUGCCUUCUCCUGCCUUGCCUCAGCACAGCUACAAUGGAAAUGAAUGACUCAAUUGUCUCUGAUGAAGUGAAAGACAAGGAAACCCUUUAAAUCCUCCAAAAGGGAUGAACUCUCUUUCUGUCCCUCUAUUGCCUGGAGACUUCCGGGAGAAAGAGAGAGAGAGAGGGAGUCAGAAAGAUAGAUUGAAAACACCAAAGACCACGAGUUGCUUAAUCAGGUCUUCUGGCAAAAUCUUUUCACCUAAACUGGAUCUGGAGUUGAAUUUUGCAACCUGACCUUUGCAGAAACCUGUUAUUUUUAAUAGAAAAUCAUUCCAAACCAGAAAUCCAAUUUUCAAUGUUAGGCCUACAGCUAAAGUCAUCUGGAUUAUGGAAGCAUUUGCAACAGUGCUGAGGAACAGGCAAGCAUGGAUACAUACAGACUCUCACUUAAUACACUUGCUCUCUCAAGAGGAAACAUUUUUUGGGGAAAGGACAUAAUAAUGAUCCAGACAGGCUCUUUGAAAUUCACUGAUCCAAAGAGAAGGGAUCUGCCCAUCUGUGAGACUCCCAUCUCUAGAGAGGCCUUUUCGGCGGUUAAGGCUACAGUAGAUGUGUUGUGCGCAGCUCAGACUGCCAUCCAUCACUCGUGAACCUCUUUGACGUCUGAACCUCUGACCUCCUCUUCCCAGUAUCCUCCUUUUGCUGCUACAGGAACACUUUUAAAGUCACAUCGUGCCCAGACAGAUUUCAUCAGGCUUUGCAUGUACCUGGACAGAGAUUAGCGCAUAAGAGGUUAAUGGCAUAUUUCCCUGGAAAUGCCCAAAUCAUUUUGAUUUUUAUAUUGCUAGUAAUAUAUUUUAGAAUAUGCUUUUGCAGGUGAUUCUGAGAAUGAAUAUCAGAAAAUGUUAAGGAAGAGGGAU